CAGCAGCCGCGGUAAUACAGAGGGUGCGAGCGUUAAUCGGAUUUACUGGGCGCAAAGCGUGCGUAGGCGGCUUUUUAAGUCGGAUGUGAAAUCCCUGAGCUUAACUUAGGAAUUGCAUUCGAUACUGGGAAGCUAGAGUAUGGGAGAGGAUGGUAGAAUUCCAGGUGUAGCGGUGAAAUGCGUAGAGAUCUGGAGGAAUACCGAUGGCGAAGGCAGCCAUCUGGCCUAAUACUGACGCUGAGGUACGAAAGCAUGGGGAGCAAACAGGAUUAGAUACCCGGGUAGUCCCUGUCUCUUAUAC
rnacentral:rRNA from 1 species